rnacentral:rRNA from 1 species
UGGGGAAUAUUGCACAAUGGGCGCAAGCCUGAUGCAGCCAUGCCGCGUGUAUGAAGAAGGCCUUCGGGUUGUAAAGUACUUUCAGCGGGGAGGAAGGGAGUAAAGUUAAUACCUUUGCUCAUUGACGUUACCCACAGAAGAAGCACCGGCUAACUCCGUGCCAGCAGCCGCGGUAAUACGGAGGGUGCAAGCGUUAAUCGGAAUUACUGGGCGUAAAGCGCACGCAGGCGGUUUGUUAAGUCAGAUGUGAAAUCCCCGGGCUCAACCUGGGAACUGCAUCUGAUACUGGCAAGCUUGAGUCUCGUAGAGGGGGGUAGAAUUCCAGGUGUAGCGGUGAAAUGCGUAGAGAUCUGGAGGAAUACCGGUGGCGAAGGCGGCCCCCUGGACGAAGACUGACGCUCAGGUGCGAAAGCGUGGGGAGCAAACA